UUUUGAGUCUCUUCUAUUUUAUCACCUAAAAGGUAGCAGCACUAUCAUUUAAUAUACUUGUACCUUUUUUUUGACAAUUGUUUUUCUUUUCUUUUUUCUUUUUUGACAUUUUUUUUUUUAUUGACUGCAUUAGUCUCCAUAUAUUACUUGAUAUUUUCUCAUCAUUGAGUUCCUUUUGUCUGGUAUAUCUUUUGUCUAUCCAUCUGCCAUUAUAUUUUCAUCUUCCUAACUGACCUUUCUUUUUUUUUUUAUGAUGUUAAAGA